UCCGAGUUGACCCCGGCAGUCUCCUAUGAGUCCCCACCAUCACGUGCUGGCAACAUAGGACGAGGGUUGCGCUCGUUGCGGGACUUAACCCAACAUCUCACGACACGAGCUGACGACAACCAUGCACCACCUGUGCACGGCCCUUACGGACCUCCCAUCUCUGGGAGAUUUCCGUGCAUGUCAAGCCCAGGUAAGGUUCUUGGCGUUGCGUCCAAUUAAACCACAUGCUCCGCUGCUUGUGCGGGCCCCCGUCAAUUCCUUUGAGUUUUAACCUUGCGGCCGUACUCCCCAGGCGGGUCACUUAUUGCGUUAGCUGCGGCACACGCGGGGUCGAUACCGCGUACACCUAGUGACCAUCGUUUACGGCGCGGACUA
rnacentral:misc_RNA from 1 species